GACGAACGCUGGCGGCGUGCUUAACACAUGCAAGUCGAACGGACAGGCCCUGCUUUUGUGGGGUGCUCGAGUGGCGAACGGGUGAGUAACACGUGAGUAACCUGCCCUGGACUUUGGGAUCACUUCAGGAAACUGGGGCUAAUACCGGAUAGGAGCUCCUGCUGCAUGGUGGGGGUUGGAAAGUUUCGGCGGUUGGGGAUGGACUCGCGGCUUAUCAGCUUGUUGGUGGGGUAGUGGCUUACCAAGGCUUUGACGGGUAGCCGGCCUGAGAGGGUGACCGGCCACAUUGGGACUGAGAUACGGCCCAGACUCCUACGGGAGGCAGCAGUGGGGAAUAUUGCACAAUGGGCGGAAGCCUGAUGCAGCAACGCCGCGUGCGGGAUGACGGCCUUCGGGUUGUAAACCGCUUUCGCCUGUGACGAAGCGUGAGUGACGGUAAUGGGUAAAGAAGCACCGGCUAACUACGUG
rnacentral:rRNA from 1 species